rnacentral:rRNA from 1 species
UACGUAGGGUGCGAGCGUUGUCCGGAAUUAUUGGGCGUAAAGGGCUCGUAGGCGGUUUGUCACGUCGGGAGUGAAAACUCAGGGCUUAACCCUGAGCCUGCUUCCGAUACGGGCAGACUAGAGGUAUGCAGGGGAGAACGGAAUUCCUGGUGUAGCGGUGAAAUGCGCAGAUAUCAGGAGGAACACCGGUGGCGAAGGCGGUUCUCUGGGCAUUACCUGAUGCUGAGGAGCGAAAGUGUGGGGAGCGAACAGG